GAGGUGAGAGAAAGCCGGAGUACCCGGAGGGAACCCAUGCAGUCACGGGGAGGCCAUGCAAACUCCACACAGAAAGACCCCUAGCCCGAGGAUUGACCCCAGGACCAUUGUAUUGUGAGGCACACGUACUAACCCCUGUUCCACAGUCCUGCCCUUAAAGAUAUGUUGGAAACUGACUCCAACUGCACAUCGGUGGAGCUGAUGAUCUCCGGAGACGUCGUAUCCAGGAUCUCCACGGCAAUGGAGAGCAACAACCGGGCACGGAAGGACACUCCUUCUCCCAGUCCGUCAUUCAGGUCCUGGUGCUCAUCCAUGAGGGUGUAUUGCCGUGUGGAGCCGUACAUAUUGACCCAGGCUGGACCCAAGAUAUUCCACCUCUUAUUGGAGAUGUUUGUGGUGACGGCAGUGACUGAAGCCAGGGAGAUAGCGUCUGGUUCCAACAUUCCAGCAAGACGCAUCGCCUUCCUGUCCAGGUCCACCAUGUCCAGGACUGCUGGCUCGUCUGAGAUCUAUUCUCUGACUUUCAAAUUGAUGCCCACGUUCCAUCUGCACUUUGAAGUUUGAAGGCUCACCCUUUUAAAUAUUUCAAACUCCUCAUGUCUGUGACCUCAUGAGUGAAGAUUGAUUUGAAGAUGUCUGACAUAAUGAAGGCCGAGGCAGUAAGGACCUCAAAUGUUGCUUUGUAUCGCACAACAAAUGCUCACACUGCAAUGCCUAGAUCCCCAUGUAUCAGGUAAGGGACAGAAAAAUCGUCAAAAUUGCUGAUAUCAUCGCUAUAAAACACAGAGAAGUCCCUAUUGGAAAUACCUGACAUAGAAAAGAAGCUUACAGUGAUAUUUUUCCACAGUAGUCUAUAAAGGAUAUAAUAACAUGUAUUAAGUGUAGCCUUGAGAUCAUGAGUUAUAGUAAUGACCUUUUACUUUUAGGACGGGGGUCGGCAAUCUGCGGCUCAAGAGCCGCAUGUAGCUCUUUAGUGCCGCCCUAGUGGCUACCUGGAGUGUUUUCAAAAAUGUAUGAAAAAA